rnacentral:misc_RNA from 1 species
GAUGAAGAACGUAGCGAAAUGCGAUAAGUAAUGUGAAUUGCAGAAUUCAGUGAAUCAUCGAAUCUUUGAACGCAUCUUGCGCUCCUUGGUAUUCUGAGGAGCAUGCCUGUUUGAGUGUCAUUAAAUUCUCAACUACACUGACUUUGAAUUGGUGUGGCUUGGAUUUGGGGGGAAAAUUGUUGUGGGCUUUUUGUAUAGUCUGCUCCCCUGAAAUUGAUUAGCGGUACCUUUGUGGAACUGUCUACAGGUGUGAUAAUCAUCUACAUCUUAGACAUCUGCUGGAAUGCUGCUUUCUAAACCUUACUUGUAUUGACAAUCUUGACCUCAAAUCAGGUAGGACUACCCGCUGAACUUAAGCAUAUCAAUAAGCGGAGG